GGCGGCGUGCCUAAUACAUGCAAGUAGAACGCUGAAGAGAGGAGCUUGCUCUUCUUGGAUGAGUUGCGAACGGGUGAGUAACGCGUAGGUAACCUGCCUGGUAGCGGGGGAUAACUAUUGGAAACGAUAGCUAAUACCGCAUAAAAUGGAUUAUCGCAUGAUAAUGCAUUGAAAGGUGCAAAUGCAUCACUACCAGAUGGACCUGCGUUGUAUUAGCUAGUUGGUGGGGUAACGGCUCACCAAGGCGACGAUACAUAGCCGACCUGAGAGGGUGAUCGGCCACACUGGGACUGAGACACGGCCCAGACUCCUACGGGAGGCAGCAGUAGGGAAUCUUCGGCAAUGGACGGAAGUCUGACCGAGCAACGCCGCGUGAGUGAAGAAGGUUUUCGGAUCGUAAAGCUCUGUUGUAAGAGAAGAACGAGUGUGAGAGUGGAAAGUUCACACUGUGACGGAUCUACC
rnacentral:rRNA from 1 species